rnacentral:tRNA from 1 species
GAGGGGAUAGCUCAGUGGUAGAGUGCAUGCUGAGCACGCACAAGGUCCUAGGUUCAAUCCCUAGUCCCUCCG